rnacentral:rRNA from 1 species
GACGAACCGUCCAAACGUUAUUCGGAAUCACUGGGCUUACAGAGUUCGUAGGCGGUCUGGAACGUUGGGUGUGAAAUCCCUCGGCCUAACCGAGGAACUGCGCUUGAAACUACCAGACUCGAGGGGGAUAGAGGAAAGCGGAACUGAUGGUGGAGCGGUGAAAUGCGUUGAUAUCAUCAGGAACACCGGUGGCGAAGGCGGCUUUCUGGGUCUGACCUGACGCUGAGGAACGAAAGCCAGGGGAGCGAACGGG